UGUUCAACGCACGGGGAGCGACAUUUUGGUUGAAAAUGGCCGUUUAUAUAAGCUAAAAACAUCUAAAAAACAUCCCGUUGUUGAAAAUGGCUAUGUAAGCAGUCAACGAUUACGGACGCUAUUCGACUUGGAUCUGAAUAGGGCAGUGGAGAAGAUUCAGAAGUUUUAUGGUAGCAAAGGAGAAACUUUUAAGUUGCGCUAUAUAUCUGAAUUUGACGAAAGUAAUGGUUAUUUUGUUAGCAUUACUGCCAGAGAUGAAUCCAAUGAUAUAGAUGAACUGUCAAUACCAAAUUUAAUUAUUCAGUUCCAUCCAAUAUUCAAAUUUUCCACUAAUUCUAAACUGGGCAUGAUGAUGACCCCUUAUAAAAAUUCCUUUUUACCGAUGAAUCCUGAUGCCAAAAAUGAUGAGACUAGGAAGAAUUUUCUCGACUUGCAAAAUCUCUUAUUUAACUUGAAAAUAGAAAAUGAGUUAAUCAUCAUCCUCUGUAUGAGAUUUAUAAUACCCUCAAAUUUGCUUCAGGCUAUCGAAUAUGGUAUUCGCUUAUCAAAAUCUCCAGGACGUCUUACUUCUAUUUAUGGAAAACUACUGCAGUUCAAAGAAGCGAACUCUGUGGAAAUGCAAGAAUUGAUGGAACUUUUUGGACAAAAAUAAACUAAAUAAACUACUUAAAGGUUACAAAAAAAAAACUACCAUUCCAUGUAUACCCUAUUUUUAAGUUGAGUUUCCAAAAAAAUUGUCAAACAAGUUAUUUAACAAUGGCUUGGUCGAACAAAUAUACCCUCAAGUAUAAAAACACAAAAA